UGCCAGCCGCCGCGGUAAUACGGAGGGGGUUAGCGUUGUUCGGAAUUACUGGGCGUAAAGCGCACGUAGGCGGACUGGAAAGUUGGGGGUGAAAUCCCAGGGCUCAACCCUGGAACUGCCUCCAAAACUAUCAGUCUAGGAACCGGGAGGCGUGAAGGGUAUUCUCGAGGGACCGGUAAAAUGGGAUAAUCUCGAGAGGACCACCUGUGGCGAAGGCGCUUCACGAGAACGGGUUCGACGGUGAGGAACGAAAGCUAGGGGAGCAAACCGGAUUAGAUA
rnacentral:rRNA from 1 species